GUGCCAGCCGCCGCGGUAAUACGGAGGGUGCAAGCGUUGCUCGGAAUCAUUGGGCGUAAAGCGUACGCAGGCUGUUCGUUAAGUCGGGUGUGAAAGCCCGGGGCUCAACCCCGGAACUGCGCCCGAAACUGGCGAGCUUGAGUGCGGGAGAGGGAAGCGGAAUUCCUGGUGUAGAGGUGAAAUUCGUAGAUAUCAGGAGGAACACCGGUGGCGAAAGCGGCUUCCUGGCCCGACACUGACGCUCAUGUACGAAAGCGUGGGGAGCAAACAGGAUUAGAAACCCCCGUAGUCC
rnacentral:rRNA from 1 species